rnacentral:lncRNA from 1 species
UGAUGAUUAUGAGAUAAGCAACAACCCGGAUGUAGGUACAUAUGAACAUGUGUAAGAAUGUUUAUUUUUGACAAUAACAUGUGUAAGAAUGUUUAGGAAACAGAACAACCAACACCAACAUAUUUGGGAUCAAGUAUUGACACUUUAGGGCAGUCACACCUACAAAUCUUCUUGUCCAAAUUAUAAAGUACAUGGACAUAAAAUAAAAAAAUACUAACACCUACAUCCAUUUUUAUCCAUUUCUCCGACAAGUAUUUUUGGACGGAGGGAGUAGCAAAUAAUAGUAAUGAAUUUGUCACUUCAACUAGGCUCCACAUUUCAGAUCAGUGACUUUCUUUAUCCAUCAAACCUGCAUGCAGAAGCAGUAUAGUAGUAAGUUUCAUGUCCAAAAUGACAUAAGUUGUGGCAAUGAUACUAAGAAUGUAAAUAACAGAAUCACAUUGGAAGCUGACCUUUAUUGUGGUAUUGUGUCGAACGUCACAGAAUGAAAGUCAAUUUGUGAACACAUAGUACAUCACAAGCAGUAAACAGUAAACUACCCUUCACCUCUUGUACGACAGCAGCUAGCAAGUUCAAAUAGUCGAAUUCAAUUGCUGAUUGGCUGGAUUUCCAUCUUGAUACAACACCAGCAGCAGGUGCUAAAGUUCAGCUAUUCCCAAAUACCUGGAACCAUGUUGUACAAUUUGAAUCCUUUGAUCUAAUAAUUCACUAAAAAGCAAAAAUAUUCUAAACAUAUUACAUACAAAAUAUACACAAAAAUUCGAGGAUUUCUUUUUUCUUACUUGGUUGACUGAAACUGGCAAUGAACCGAGCUGAGCUGAACACAAUAAACACACGAGCAAAAUAAAACAAAAGCAUUGAUCUUCAAGGAAACAGAGAGGCAUUCACAUGUUAAGGGAAAGAGAUGGAAGUUAACAAGAAGUUUAAUCAAGGUGCAACUUUGUGCAUCUUCAGAGUGACAUCUUUGUGCAUUUUCAAACUACUUUCCACUUGUGUUGCAGAAAACACUCUGAAGUAGAUACAAUCUUCAUGUCAACAAAUGACAUAAGUGUAUGUACUCCAACAAAUUUGAGAUAGGUCCAAGUAUUACUGUUAACAUAUAAAAAAUAUAGAGGUUCAUGUAAUCCUCUCUCAUCUUGUCCUUCUUAUGCAAAUUUGGAUAGAAAAACCAACACUGGUUCAGAGUACUACUCGAUAUAGAUUCCUAAAGUCGUCAUUCAGUUUAGUAGACAUCUGUUAUAUUUUUUAAAGACUCUUGUGUGUUUGCUUUAUAAGAAUAUAAUCUUUGCCUUGUUGUUGUUAUUGAUGUCUCCAUUCCUGGACAUAAAUCUGUUAUUACCAUAGUAGAGUCAUGUAUAUACAUGUUCCUAUUAUGUACAAAUUAGGGUCCUUGUUCUGAUUAUGCUCACUUGUGUUGACCUACUCCCAUAUAUACAUGGACUCUAUACUAAAACUAUAACUUAAAUGUUAUUAGUUUUGCAAUGGAUGUGACAGUAAGGUAUCGCAUUAGAAAUAGAAGGGAGGAGGAAUAAUUUCCCUGAAUGUCUACUCACAUUAGAAAUAGAACUUAAAUGUUCUUCCAGAGAUGAAUGUUUACUCGGUGCAAUGCUUACACUACAUUUUCUAAAAAUUUCAAGCAUUCCUUGUACAAACUGAAUUCAUAUAUGUAUGUUUACUUAGUGCAACAUCUAAACUGUAUUCCUGUACAAAUUUUCCUCAAUCCCUGACCAACCGAAUAACAAUGAAGUAGAAAGGGAUUAAGAGGGAUAGGGGUCAAACCCCAAAAGAGAUUAGAGUGACAAACAGAGGUUUCACACAAACCCCAUGGUGAUUAAUUCCCUGUUGGGAACAAAUCCCAAACAAUUGAACAUAGCACAAUUGGUACAGUACAUCUCUGAAACUGUAACAAGCCCGAAGCUCCUCUCUCUCAGAUGAUUUGAUCACAAAGACAGGGGAAUGGAUCCACCUCUCCAAUCUGACGAUCCAUCCCCUGCAUCAUCUACCAAAUCCCCCUACAUCCCAUGGCCAUGUCUCGAGGUGCCCACAAAUAGGUGACUGGAUGAGAGGAGACGGGAAUGAGGGAGGAAGGAGGGUUACCUCAGAGGUCAGUCUCGCCGUGUGAAG